rnacentral:lncRNA from 1 species
AGGAUAUCGCAUCCUAUGCCUACGUAUCUCAUCUGGAAUGAGAAUCAGAGCUGCUGUAGUUCGGCUAAUGCACGCCGAAACACAACACAACACAAAGACGCUGAGACGUCAAGAGAAACACACAAAUGGAAACAGACUGCCAAUGACUGGUCUUACGUCCGACUCCGAACACACAAACACAAACAGGAAACCGAAUGCCAAUCGCUGGGCUUACAUUAGACUCCAAACAAACAAGAAAUCGCUAACCAGCGAACACCAAAGGUAGAAAGCAAAUUGACAAACUAAAAGGGAGUCUGGAACUCGAGCCUAGAAGUUG